rnacentral:rRNA from 1 species
GGGGGGGGCAGGCACCCUAGCUNCUUAGCUAGCGGUGGUCGUGCCCUCUGCGGCGNUGCACCCGGCGCCGGCGGGCAGCGCGGGUGUACUUUCUUCCUCACACACACAGCGGGGGCGUACCAACCACACCCAACCGACGAGUGGGUGGAGGCCCGGCGGGNCCCCCCCCGGGUCCAGAGAGGGGCAUUCNAUUUCCUNCAGGNNUUUACCCCCCCCCCCACCCAACUUGGGGGUGGGNGGUGUUGGUGUGUUUUUUCUUUUUCUUCNUCUUCNUCUCANAUUAGAGAUUCCGUCCGUCUCGGCUGNGUGGGCGCUCUCUUCCUNCUCCUUCGCGCNACUGAGUGACUACGUAUACUCACCAUCGCACCAGCAUCGCAGGUNUCCUCGACGGCUCUCAUCUCUCAGCUNACUGCGCGCCUGAACNACGCUGCGCGCCCCGCGGACNUCGCGUGGG